rnacentral:rRNA from 1 species
UACGUAGGAUGCGAGCGUUGUCCGGAAUUAUUGGGCGUAAAGCGUACGUAGGCGGCCUGGUAAGUUUGGUCUUAAAGACCGGGGCUCAACCCCGGGAAUGGACCGAAUACUGUCAGGCUGGAGUACGCUAGAGGAUGGUGGAAUUCCAAGUGUAGCGGUGAAAUGCGUAGAUAUUUGGAGGAACACCGGUGGCGAAAGCGACCAUCUGGGGCGUUACUGACGCUGAGGUGCGAAAGCGUGGGGAGCAAACAGG